rnacentral:lncRNA from 1 species
GGAUCCAGAGACUGAAAAGGGAAGAAGUGAGGGGGGAGAAGGAGACUAAGGAAAAGAUGUUGCUGAUUACAGCGGGAAUUACUUUAAGGACACACGUGCAUGCACACAUGAGGAACUUCAUCAAAAGCAACUGAUACCGCCCCAGUCCCGACAGACCAAGGGAGGUCACACUAAUCAAUCCCAUCUUUAAACCAGAAAACCAAGCACGGACAGGUGGGAAAAAAAAAUCUUGAAAACCAAAAAAUAUGCCAUUUGGCAGAAAGGGGGUUAAAAAUCAAAGUCAACCUUGUGACUUUGUGACCAGAGCAAAAGCUGCAGAGUGCUGCUAUGACAUGCUGCUCGGCAGAAAGCCUGGAGCUGCAAACCAGGCAACACAGAUGCCUUUGUCCUAGGCUUUGGGCACUGCCCUGUACUGUGUCCCUAGAGCUCCCUUCUUUGUUACUUCUUGGCUCUCUCGUCAGUGUGAAACACAUCCAGGCAGAAGAUCUGGGCAAUGAGCACUCAGGGAUAAGGCUUUAAAGUCUUCUGUGUGUCCCACCCCCAAGACCUUCCAGCUAUGAAAUUUGUAUGGCGCCAGCACCGUUCAUGUUGAAAACUCCCUUCAAAUCAACUCUGGGUAAAUGGCUCCAUCGCUACCGUAAAAGCCACAGGGCAACAAGAUCUCAUCUUCUAAAGGUUUGAUGCUCACAAGCACAGCCCACCAACCGUUGCAGGUGUCCAUCUUGAGGCUCUACAAAUUAAGAAGAUGCUGCUAAGUACAAUUUAUUUGAUGGUGACCUGUUAAAUUCAAAGAGAUUGUGGCUUGUCCUGUGCUCCAGAACCGAAGUGGGUGACAUGCUGCGUCACGGCCUCUUUGGUAAAAGACAAUGUUUUCCUGCCUGUCUGUGCCAGUGACUAAUCAAACGCGAAGGGAGGCUUUGGGGAUAGCCAUCGCCACUGCUUGAGAAGCAUCAGAACCUAAGAUAGAGGCUCCCAAACCCUGUGUUCUCGGUAUGUACCCCAGCGCUAGCUGCCUCUGGCAGAGCUGGAGAGGUGGUCAGUAUACAAAAACCUUCCCGGGCUCCAGAACCCGAGAUCAACAGCACACCUGUCACCUUUUGCACCAUGCUAAAGUCCUGUCAAAUCACACUCGCCUCUGGAAACACACCAGAAAGGACAUGGGAGAGAGUGUGGAGUCCAAACAACAGACAAAGGUGAUUGGGUAAUGUAUCUUGGAAGACUCCUCACCCCAAUUCAAAGACUUGCUUAUUUUGGACAGCAAUUGUCGGUUCAUCUAGUGUACCCUGCACAGGAUCCAAUGACAAUAAAGCAAAAAUUCAUUACAA